GACGAACGCUGGCGGCGUGCUUAACACAUGCAAGUCGUACGGUAAGGCCCUUUCGGGGGUACACGAGUGGCGAACGGGUGAGUAACACGUGAGUAACCUGCCCACAACUUUGGGAUAACGCUAGGAAACUGGUGCCAAUACUGGAUAUGUGCUCCUUCUUCAUGGUGGGGGUUGGAAAGUUCCGGCGGUUGUGGAUGGACUCGCGGCCUAUCUGCUUGUUGGUGGGGCAGUGGGCUACCGAGGCGGCGUGGGGUAGCCGGCCUGAGAGGGUGACCGGCCACAUUGGGACUGAGGUACGGCCCAGGCUCCUACGGGAGGCAGCAGUGGGGAAUAUUGCACAAUGGGCGCAAGCCUGAUGCAGAAGCGCCGCGUGCGGGAUGACGGCCUUAGGGUUGUAAACCGCUUUCAGCAGGGACGAAGCUUUUUGUGACGGUACCUGCAGAAGAAGCACCGGCUAACUACGUG
rnacentral:rRNA from 1 species